rfam:Mycobacterium heraklionense strain Davo contig_11, whole genome shotgun sequence.
GGUGUAUCGGCCCGACCCCCCGGGGUUGAUACGCGACGACCUCCGCCUCCUCCCCCCCUGGCGGGGGUCGUCUUUU